GACAGAGGGUGCUAGCGUUGUUCGGAAUUACUGGGCGUAAAGGGCGCGUAGGCGGUCUGUUAAGUUCGGUGUGAAAUCCCCUGGCUCAACUGGGGAACUGCGCUGGAAACUGGCAGACUCGAGUACCGGAGAGGAGAGUGGAAUUCCUGGUGUAGCGGUGAAAUGCGCAGAUAUCAGGAAGAACACCCGUGGCUAAGGCGGCUCUCUAGUACGGUACUGACGCUGAGACGCGAAAGCGUGGGGAGCGAACAGG
rnacentral:rRNA from 1 species